UACGGAGGGGGCUAGCGUUGUUCGGAAUUACUGGGCGUAAAGCGCACGUAGGCGGACUGUUAAGUCGGGGGUGAAAUCCUGGGGCUCAACCUCAGAAUUGCCUCCGAUACUGGCAGUCUCGAGUGCGGGAGAGGUGAGUGGAAUUCCCAGUGUAGAGGUGAAAUUCGUAGAUAUUGGGAAGAACACCAGUGGCGAAGGCGGCUCACUGGCCCGUAACUGACGCUGAGGUGCGAAAGCGUGGGGAGCAAACAGGAUUAGAAACCCCCGUAGUCC
rnacentral:rRNA from 1 species